CCCCUGGUUUGUAGCGUAGCCGAAUGAAGGCAUCCCAGGUGCUUGCUCGUAAGAGGAAGCUGUCUUCUUUGUUUAAAACGCAGAGAGAGUAAGAUCUGGGUAAGACGGGCGCCCCCCGCCGCGAUAAUACCUGCAGCUCUAGUGGGGGCCGCUAUUAUUGGGCCUAAAACGUCCGUAGCCGGUUUGGAAAAUGCCUGGGUAAAUCGUGUAGCUUAACUAUACGAAUUCUUGGUAGACUACCAAACUUGAGACCGGGAGAGGCUAGAGGUACUCUUGGGGUAGAGGUGAAAUUCUGUAAUCCUGAGGGGACCACCAGUGGCGAAGGCGUCUAGCUAGAACGGGUCUGACGGUGAGGGACGAAGCCCUGGGGCACAAACCGGAUUAGAUACCCGGGUAGUCCAGGGUGUAAACGCUGCUUGCUUGAUGUUAGUUGGGCUCCGAGCCCAACUAGUGUCGGAGAGAAGUUGUUAAGCAAGCUGCCUGGAAAGUACGGUCGCAAGGCUGAAACUUAAAGGAAUUGGCGGGGGAGCACAGCACCGGGGGGGGGCGGGCGGUUUAAUUGGUUUCAACGCCGGAAAACUCACCGGAGGCGACGUUUACUUGAAGCCCAGGCUGAUGACCUUGCCAGAUUUUCCGAAGGGGGGGGCAUGCCCCCCGUCAGUUCGUACCGUAGGGGGUUUUGUUAAGUCAAACAACGAACGAGACCCUCAUCUUUAAUUUCCUCCUAACAAGCCCGCUUGUGGGGCAUUUAAAAAAACCCGCUGGCAAAAAGUCAAAAGAAGGGAAGGGCACCGUUGGGCCAGUUGGCCCUGAAUCUCCCGGGGUUACCCGGCGCCUAAAAGGCUAGAACAUGGGUUUUCUCACCCGAAGGGGGACGGGAUCCCCGAACCCUAGUCUUAUUUCGAACCGGGGGUGAAACUCCCCCCUCCGGAAGGCUGGAAUCCGAGGAACCCCAAAUAAAAACUCCGCGGGGAAAUUGGUUUUGUUUUUUUGAAAAAAGGAGAGGGCGAUUCCCCCGCCCCCUAAUUUCAUUUCCCCCUUAGUGGGGGGCGAUAUAAAUUCCUGGGGCCCCCCUUUUUCACAAAAAAGCCGGGGGGGGCCCCCAGGUAUUGAGGAAAAAAAAAUUUUUUUCACUUUCCCCCGCGGUG
rnacentral:rRNA from 1 species